CCAUCUUAGCCUACAUUUCAAUAUAAAUAGGUAAUAAACUGCUAUUCAUUUAUUUUCGUUGAAGCGCCACAGUACACGGUGUCAGUCUGCAGCUUGCAACUGAUACAUUUGAAAAACAGCGGGAGGUUUGACUACUAAAUUCUUGACAAGAUGCCCAAAAGAAAGGCAGGUGGAGCAAGCGGAGAGCCCGCACGCCGCUCUGCAAGAUUAUCGGCUAAACCAGCACCCCCAAAGCCAGCCCCAAAACCCAAGAAGGCAGCACCUAAGAAGGCUGCCAAGGGGAAGAAGCCUGCUGAGAAUGGAGAUGCCAAGGCAGAGUAACAACGUCCCAAGAUCUUCUUUGGCUCAGGGUCAUACCAGGACAGGAAGUGAUGCACCGAAGGUGGAGGCAGCAGCUGAUGCCUAAUACGGAUAUGUCCUUUGGCUCAUUCUGUGUACUUGGUGACUGUACAGUUUGAAACAACUAUUUUUUACCAAGUUUUAUAUAAAAAAAUACCAUUUAUAGUUUCAUCGUUUUGCUUGUAUUUGAUGUACUGAAACGGUUUGGAUUGGAAGUACUCUCUCUUGCAGCAGUCAUAUCCAUUUUUAUUAUUGCCAUUUGUUUUAACCAGCACCGUCCUCUUCCCAGUUGAAACCAUGUUUUAGCAUUCUGUUUAGCUUUGGAAACUGCUGAAUGUUACAAAAAUGAUCUGUUUUGGUUUUUGAAAAGUCUGAUUUUUUUAAACACCAAACAUUAUCAUAAGGCAGCUAAAAGUGUAUUUGUAAUAAUGUUUGGAAGAAAAGCUUUUAAAUCGUGUCAUUUUCUUACCUGUCAUAAUCUGUAAUCACGAAGUACUUGCAAAAAUUAAAAACCUUUUCAUUUGGAGACACAGCAGGUGAAGUAGUCACUAAAUUUAAUUUAAUUUAUGAUAGGCUACCAACCAUGAUCAGAUGUAUAAUGUGAAUUUAGCAAUUUGUUGAAACGGAUGAAAAAUGUCAUUGUUUAAAAAAAAAAAAGAAAAAUGUUGGACAACUUUUUUUGUGACUCAUAAACACAAUGUGUUGUGCUUUUGAAUAAAACAUAAAAAAAAUGUUUAAA